CGAUCCCUUUCUGACUUUAAC
rnacentral:miRNA from 1 species